GACGAACGCUGGCGGCGUGCUUAACACAUGCAAGUCGAACGGUGAUGCUCCAGCUUGCUGGAGUGGAUCAGUGGCGAACGGGUGAGUAACACGUGAGCAACCUGCCCCAGACUCUGGAAUAAGCGCUGGAAACGGCGUCUAAUACUGGAUACGAAACUGGCCCGCAUGGGCUUGGUUUGGAAAGUUUUUCGGUUUGGGAUGGGCUCGCGGCCUAUCAGCUUGUUGGUGAGGUAAUGGCUCACCAAGGCGACGACGGGUAGCCGGCCUGAGAGGGCGACCGGCCACACUGGGACUGAGACACGGCCCAGACUCCUACGGGAGGCAGCAGUGGGGAAUAUUGCACAAUGGGCGAAAGCCUGAUGCAGCGACGCCGCGUGAGGGAUGACGGCCUUCGGGUUGUAAACCUCUUUCAGCAGGGAAGAAGCGAAAGUGACGGUACCUUCAGAAGAAGCACCGGCUAACUACGUG
rnacentral:rRNA from 1 species